ensembl:lncRNA
CUGGGAGCCGCGGUGCUGAUGACAUACCUGCAGCCCCGGGGGAAGCACAGAGAUAGUCUGCUGUCGCCCAGGGCAGGGGGGCUACAGCCGGAACGGCGCCGGGGGCAGCACUGGCCCCGACCCGGCCGCCGCAGGUAAGUUACUUGUCCCAGUGUAUGGAUGUAAAUGAAGAUGGCGUGUUUCAUUGUUUUGGAUCAGGGUAAUAUAUGGCAAGAUUAUCACUCCAGUAAAGCUAUCAGUCAGUAACACCGGUGCUUCACAGUAUUAGACCUGAGAAAUGCCUUUCCUGCAUCCCACUUGAAUGUUUACGUCAGAAGCUGUUUGUAUUUGAGUGGAAGAAAAACCCAAUUCACUGGGUGUACAUAGUGCUGCCAGAGGGAUUUAAGAGCAGCCCAUCUAUCUAUGGCAAUCAACUAGCAAAGGAGCUGGAAUUGUGGAGGCAGGAAAAUAGAGAGGGAAUUACGUUGCAGUACAAUGAUGACGUAUUGCGAGCCGGCAAGUCUUGAGAAGAAUGUUUAGAAUUAACCAUUAGGUGUGGGAAUAGCAGAAAGACUAUUCAGAGCAGUGGCUGUGAAGCAAGAUAAACAGCAUGAGAAAGCAACGCUGGGAACUAAGGAUAUCUCUAGAGGAAAAGCAAGAGGAACGGCCCAUGGCUUUUAUUGCAUAAGCACCUGUAUGCAUGGUUAAAGAGUGUUUGUGGAAUACUUUGUUGAUGUGUAAAGGCAGAUGAAAAAUCUGGUGUGCUCUAGACCACAAAGCAAAAAGAAAGUGUCUUGCUGGACUCAAAUGCAGAAGGAAGUGGACAUGCUGGGCAGAAAUCUGGAAGCAGUAGUCAUUGCUGGACAUAAACCAAGAAAGAAUGGGUCUAGCUGGACAGAAACCAAGAUGGAAGGGGUCAUGCUCAGCCCAAAGCCAGAAGAAAUUGGACUUGCUUUGCAAAAACCAUGAAGGAAGGAGGAUUGAAGGGCUGAAUGCCAGAAGGAGUGUGGCUUUCUGGGCCCAAAGCCAGAAGGUAAGGUUCUUCCUUAGCCAAAAGAAAUAAAGAAUGGUUUUGCUGCUCCAAAAUCCAGAAGGAAGGGGGCUUGUAAGACCAUACCAAGAAGAAAUGGGGAGUGCUGGGCCACAAACCAAGAAGAAGGGGUUUUGCUGGACUGAAACCCAGAAGGAAGGCAGCUUGCUGGGAAGAAACCAAGAAGGAAGGUGGCAGGCUGGGCAGACAGCCAGAAGGAACAAGGCUUUCUAGGCCAAGACAGAGAAGGAAAGGGUCUUGCUGGGCAGAAAUACAAAAGGCAGAGUUCUUGCUGGACAGAAACCAAAAAGGAAAGGGGUACACUGGGAAGAAACUCAGAUGCAAGGGGUCUUGCUGGGCCCAAAGCCGGAAGGAAUUGGACUUGAUUUCUGUGGAUUUCUGGGCCCAAAGCCAUAAGGAAAGGUCCUUGCAAGGCUGCAACGAAUACAGAACAGGUUUUCUACUCCUAAACACAGUAGGAAGAGGACUUGUAAGGUUAUACCCAGAAGAAUGGGGGCGUGAUGGGCCACACACCAAAAAGAAGGGUUUUGCUGGACUGAAAUGCAAAAGGAAGGGGCUUUACUUGGCAGAAAUCCAUAAGCAAUAGAUACUGCUUGACAGAAACCAAGAAGGAAUGGGUCUCACUGGACAGAAAACCUUUUGGAAGAGGGGCUUGCUUGGCCCAAAGCCAGAAGAAAUUCCACUUGCUGUGCUGAAACUAUGAAGGAAGGAGGAUUGCUGGACUGAACGCCAGAAGGAAUAUGGAUUUCUGGGCUCAAAGCCAAAAGGCAAGGUCCUUGCUGGGCCAAAAGGAAAAAAGAAGGGUUUUCUGCUCCCAAACACAGCAGGAAAAUAGCAUGUAAGGUCUUAUGCAGAAGAAAGGAGGAGUGCUGGGGAACAAACCAGAAGGAAGGGAUCUUGCUGCACUGAAACCCAGAAAGACAGGGACUUUCUGGGGAGAAACUCGGAAGGAAGAGGACUUGCGGGAAAAAAAAGGCAGAAAGAUUUAGGCAUCCUGUGCCAAAACCCUGAAGGAAGGGAGGUUGCUCAUCUGUACCCAGAAAGACGUGGGAGUGCUGGACCACAGAACAAAAAGAAGGGGCUUUUCUGGACUGAAACUCAGAAGGAAGGUGAUUGCUGGUCAGAAUUGCAAAUGGAAAGGGUUGCUUCUUGGGCCAAACCCAAAAAGGAAGAAAGCUGGCUGGUCACAAAGGCAGAAGGAAUGGCCCUCUUCUCCGCAAAUCAAGUAAUAGCAGGUGCUUGCAUAUCAAUACACAGAAGAAAGAAGGCGUCCUGGGCCAGAAACCAAAAAUAAGGGCCUUGCUGGACUGAUACCCAGAAGAAAGGUGGCUUCCUGGGCAGAAACAAAGAAGGAAGGUGGCAGGGUGGGCAGACAGCCAGAAGGAACGGGGCUUCCUAGGCCAAAACGGAGAAGGAAAGGGGCUUGCUGGGCAGAAAUCCAUAAAGCAGAGUUCUUGCUGGGCAGAAACCAAGAAGGAAGCGGGUUCACUGGGAAGAAACCCGGAUCGAAGAGGUCUUGCUGGGCCCAAAGCCAGAAAAAAUUGGACUUGCUAUGCUGAAAGGGUGAAGAAAAGGAGUUUGAAUUGCCAAACGUCAGAAGGAAUGUGGCUUUGUGGGCCCAAAGCCAUAAGGAAAGGUCCCUGUUGGGACAAAAUGAAUAAAGAAUGGGUUUUCUGCUCCCACACCCAGAAGGAAGAGGGCUUGUAAGGCCAUACCCAGAAGAGAGGGGGAGUGCUGGACAACAAACCAUAGGGAAGGAGUCUUGCGGGACUGAAAACCCUGAAAAAGGGGACUUUCUGGAGCGAAAUUCAGAAGGAAAGGGGUUUGCAGGGAAAAAAGCAGGAAGAAAGGGGCAUCCUGUGUCGAAACCCAGAAGGAAGGGGUCUUACUGGACUGAAACCCAGAUGCAAAGGAAACUGGCUUGCUGGGAAAAAAGGCAGGAAGAUUGGAACAUCCUGUGCCAAAACCCAGAAGAUAGGGGUCUUGCUGGUCCAUACCCAGAAAAAAUUGGGCAAGCUAGGCCACAAAGAAUAAAGAAGGGAUUUUGCAGGACUGAAAUGCAGAGGGAAGUGGACGUGCUGGUUAGAAAUCCACACACAAUAGACAUUGCUGGACAGAAACUAAGAAGUGGAUCUUGCUGGACAGAAACCUAGAAGUAAGGGGACUUCCUGGGGCUAAACUCAGAAGGAAGGGGAAAAAAGGCAGGAAGAUAGGGUCAUCCUGUGCGGAAACCCAGAAGGAAGUGGGCUUGCUGGUCCAUACCCAGAAAGAAGUGUGAGUGCUGGACAACAAAGCAUAAAGAAGGGGUUUUGCUGGACUGAAACGCAGAAGUAAGGGGUCUUGCUGGGCAGAAAAUCUGAGGAAAGAGAGAUUUCUGGGCCAAAACACAGAAGGAAGGGGCCUUCCUGUUGAAGGUUAUUUGUGGUCAGAAAUGUAAAUGGAAGUGGUUGAUUGCUGGGCCAAACCCAAGAGGGAAGACGGCUUGCUGGACUUAAAGGCAGAAGGAAUGGGCUUUCCAGUGCCCAAACCCAGUAAGAAAGCAGGCCUGUAGCUCCAUAUCCAGAAACAAUUGGGAGUGCUUUGCCACAAAGCAAAGGAAGUGGUCUAGCUGGACUUAAACGCAGGAGAAAGUCAACAUGCUGGGCAGAAGUCCACAAGCAAAGGCACUGCUGGACAGAAACCAAGAAGGAAUAGAUCUUGCUGGACUGAAACUCAGAUGGAAGGGUACUGGCUAGGAAAAAAGGCAAGAAGAAAUGGGCAUAAUGUGCCAAAACCCAGAAUGAAGGGGUCUUGUGGGUUCAUAUCCAGAAAAAAUCAGGUGUGCUGGGCCACAAAGCAAAAAGAAGGGGUCUUGUUGAACUGAAACGCAGAAAGAAGUGGAUAUGCUUGGCAGGAAUCUGCAAGCAAUUGACAUUGCUAGACAGAAACCAAAAGUAAUGGGUCUCGCUGCAAAGAAACCCGGAAGGAAGGGGACUUUCUAGGGCUAAACUCAGAUGGAAGAGCGUCUGCUGUGAAAAAAGGCAGGAAGAAAUGGGCAUCCUGUGUCUAAACUCCAUAUGGAAUGGUGCUUGCUGAUCUGUACCCAGAAGGAAGCAGGAGUGAGGGAGCACAAAGCAUAAAGGAGGCGUUUUGCUGGACUGAAAUGCAGAAGGAAGGGAACUUGUUGGACAGAAACUUCCUUCUGUUUUUAGGAGCAGAAAAACCCUUUUGUAUUCGUUGCUGCUGAACAAGCUCCUUUACUUCUGGCUUCAAGCCCAUGAAUCCACAUUCCUUCUGACUUUUGGAAAUGGAAGCCUCUUUUCUUUACCCUUUCAGCAUAGCAAGUCCAUUUCCUUCUGGCUUUGGGCCCAGCAAGACCCCUUGCAUCUGAGUUUCUUCCCAGUGAGCCCACUUCCUUCUCACUUUCUGUCCAGAAGAACUCUGCCUUUUGGAUUUCUGCCCAGCAAGACCCAUUCCUUCUCCUUUUUGGCCUAGGAAGCCCCGUUUCUUCUGGCUGUCUGCCCACCCUGCCACCUUCCUUCUUCGUUUCUGCCCAGGAAGCCAGCUUCCUUAUGGGUUUCAGUCCAGCGAAACUGCUUCUUUUUGGUUUCUGGCCCAGGAUGCCCCCUUUCUUCUGGGUAUGGGUCAGCAAGCCCCCUUUCUUACUGGCUUUCGGCACAGGAAGGCCCAUUCCUUCUGCAUUUAAGCCCAGCAAGCCUUCUUCCCUCUUGGGUUUGGCCCAGAAAUCAACCACUUCCAUUUGCAUUUCCGACCACAAAUAACCUUCAGUCUGAUUUUCUGUCCAGUAAGAGCCCUUCCUUCUGUAUUUCAGUCCAGCAAAAUGCCUUCUUUUUGCUUUGUGGUCCAGCACUCCCCCUCUAUUCUGGGUACAGACGAGAAAGUUCCUCUCCUUCUGGGUUUCAACACACGAUGCUCCUUUCUUCCUGCCUUUUUGCCCAGCAAGCCCUCUUCCUUCUGAGUUUCACCCCGGAAAGUCCCCAUCCUUCUAGGUGUCCAGUGAGUUCCAUUCCUUCUCGUUUGUUUCCCAGCAUGCCCCCUUUCUUCUGCUUAUGGCCUUACAAGCCCUCUUCCUUUUGGGUUUGGGAGCAGAAAACCCCUUCUUUAUUCCUUUUGGCCCAGCAGGAACCUUUCAUUCUGGCUAUGGGCCCAGAAAUCCACAAUCCUUCUGUCAUCUAGCCCUGCAAGCCCCCUUCUGUCAUAGUUUCUGCAAAGCAAGUCCAAUUCCUUCUGGGUUUGGGCCAAGCAAGCCCCCUUCCUUCUGGCUUUCAGUCCAGCAAUACCCCUUCCCUCCUGUUUGUUGCCCACUAUGCCCCAUUUCUUCUGGGUAUGGCCUUACAAGCCCUCUUCCUUCUGGGCUUGGGAGCAGAAAACCCCUCCUUUAUUCCUUUUGGCCGCGCAAGAACCUUUUCUUCUGGCUAAUGGCCCAGAAAUGCACAAUCCUUCUGGCGUUCAGCCCUGCAAGCCUCAUUCAGUCAUAGUUCCUGCAAAGCAAGUCCAAUUUCUUCUGGCUUUUGUGAGAACUCUUUUUUGUCUUCUGUCUCAAAGCUUGCUUCCUGAGGUAUUUUUUGUGAUAAGACUCUUAACUGAUUUAUGGAGGUGGCAAAUGAUGGGUGCUACUGUGUGACAAUCAACAUCACUUUGACAUUUGAAAGCACCUUCCUCCAGAGCUGCUUGCCUCCGGAAGAGAGUGCUCAGGAGUGGUUACUGGCGGAAGAUCUGGCCUAAUAGCCCCAUCUUGGUGUGGGAAAAUUGGGGAACAACACCAUCUUGCCCUGUGAAAAACAGGAUGUAGAUGGGCAUCCCGGCUCCCUCUUAUCUGCUGGCAAGGCCCGGAAGAUGAUAACAAAGGAAUUUCUGCUGAGAUCUCAGAGCCAGUAGCUGCCACUCCAAGGAGAGCUGACUCAACCACUUUGGAUUUGAGCUGUCACUCAAAAGAGAGCUGACUCAACCACUUUGGACUUACAAAUAAGUAUGUACUGCCAUUGUUGUCGUCACUGUGGUCACCAUCGUCAAGAGAACACCCAACGACCCACCACUACUGAAGAUCAGUGACUGAACUACGAACCACGUUGGACCAUGGUGGUAACUAUCUCCCUCCUGCUUCCUAUAUGGACUCCUUGCUUCUAUUUCCUAUCUUUUCUAUCGCCCUUCUCCCCUUCCCCAUCUCCCUGAACAGCUAGGAUGUGUAAUAAACUGGUCAGACCAACAUUUGAACUGAUGUUUCUUAAUCUCAUGCCAGGUAUACACACAUCAGAGAACCUCAUCUCCCUCCGAUAAAUUGGAGUGAGACAGCUUUGGGCUGAGAAAGCCCCCUUCCUUUUGGGUUUCUGUCCAGCUAGACACAUUCCUUCUUGGUUUCUGUCCAGCAAUGUCUAUUGCUUGUGCAUUUCUGCCCAGCAUGUUUACUUCCUUCUGCAUUUCAGUCCUGUAAGACCCCUUCCCUCUGGUUUGUGGCCCAGCACUCCCCCAGCAUGGCAGCAAUUUUCCAGGGGAGUAAUGACAUUUCAUCAUCUUUACCGAAUCAUGGGAUGAAAUCUCAGCAAGAACCCAUUUCCCUGGAAACAUUCAGAAGGGCACCACAGAAGCUGGGAGCUCCUCCUCAGCCCAGCCUUUCUGCUGAGACACCUCCUGGCAACCACCCAGCACCAAACCCAGCUCACCUGCUCAGCCCAAGCUGUACCCAGCUCACUCACACGCUGCAGCCAUGCUUCUUACAGGCUCUCACAGGGUGAUCUGUUCCAAGGAAGGCCCAAAGCUCAAUGUGAGGGCAGCGCGCUCACCUGAUCACCAGCUCUGUUCACCAGUUGUGGCACAAAUGCUCCCCCCCCAGCAACGAUUGUGGCCUUGGCGAGUGCCCGCAUCCUUUCUGUGCUUUCAUCAUAAGCGAAGGAAAUGGAUGCCUCCCAGAUCCAAAUUUUAGGAGACCAACACCAGGGUCACCCAAUGGGGUUGUCUGAUGUACAGUAAUGGAGAACUGAAGAUGGCUCUCAUACAGCCCAGUAAAAAACAGUAAAGACCAAUACGACUUCAUAGUGGUAAAUGAUGUCUCAGAAGAACCAGUAGAAAACAAAACCCAGGGUCUGUGCCCGCAUCACUUUCUGGGGCUUUAAGUCCCAAGGGUGAUGUCAGCCUCUCGGGAUGUGUCUUUCAGUCCCAGGACCAGUGCUGGCCUCCCUGGCUCUGUCUCUGGCCUUAGGCCCUUGGCUGGUUCUGGCCUCUCUAGCUGGGACUGUGGCUUUACGUCUCUGGACUGGUUCCAGCCUUUCAGGCUGUCUUUUGAGGCCCUUGGGCUGGUGCUGGCCUUGCUGAUUGGGGCUUCAGGCCAUGGGGCCGGUCCUGGCCUCUCAGCUGUGUCUGUGGCUUUAGGCGCCAGGGCCCGUGCUGGCCUUUCAGGCUGUGGCUUUAGUCCCUGGGAUCAAUUGAUGCCAGCCUGUCUGGCUGUGGAUGUGGCUUCAGACCUUGGGGCUGGUGCUGGUUUCUUAGACUGGGACUGGGGCUUUAGGCCCCGGGGCUUGUGUAGGCCUCUCUGGCUGUGACUUUAGGCCCUUGGGCCGGUGAUGGCCUCUCUGGUUGGGCUUCAGGCCUGAGGGCUGGUGCCAGCCUAACUGUGGCUGUGGCUUUAAGCCCCUGGACUGUUUCAAGCCUAUCAAGCUGUGUCUUUAGUCUCCAAGGCCUUUUUCGGCCUGUCUGGCUGUGGCUUUGGCUUUAAGCCCCGUGGUCAGUGUCAGCCUCUCAGGCUGUGGCAUUAGUGCCUGGGGUCAGUGCUAACUUCUUUUUCUUUUUUCUUUUUCCUUUUUCUGUGAGUGUGUGUGUGUGUGUGGCUUUAGGCCCCAGGGCCUGUGCCGGCUUCUCAGGCUGUGUCUGUGGCUUAAGGCCACAGGGUCCAUGCUGGUUUGUCUGGCUGUGGCUGUGGCUUUAGGCUUAAAACUGGUACUAACCUCCGCAGCUGGGCUGUGGUUUCAGGCCCAAGGGCCAGUGCCGGUCUCUCUGACAGUGUUUUAGGCCAGUGCUGCAGGCCAAACUGGCUGUGGAUUUAUGUCCCAGGGACAUUGCCAGAUUCUCUCACUUUAGCUUUAAACUCCAGACUUGGUGCUACCUGACUGGCGGUAGAAGGGGAUUUAGGGACUGGGUCCGAUGUCAACCACUGUGACUGUAGCUUUAGGCCCUAAAUAUUGUGGCAGCCUAUAAAAACAUUUAUUUUAAAAUGGUUCAUGUUAGGAAAUGAAAGCAAGAGAACAAUGAGCUCUUCUGUGUAUUUCUACAAUUGAAAAAGGGAUAGGAGAGCAUGCUCAACAUUGUGUGGAUGGUUAUAUCCAGCAAUCCCUACCACAGUUGUAAAAAUCACUUGCGGCUUGCAGCUGCACUCCGUGGCGCAG